UACGUAGGGUGCGAGCGUUAAUCGGAAUUACUGGGCGUAAAGCGUGCGCAGGCGGUGAUGUAAGACAGGUGUGAAAUCCCCGGGCUUAACCUGGGAACUGCAUUUGUGACUGCAUCGCUGGAGUGCGGCAGAGGGGGAUGGAAUUCCGCGUGUAGCAGUGAAAUGCGUAGAUAUGCGGAGGAACACCGAUGGCGAAGGCAAUCCCCUGGGGUAACACUGACGCUCAUGCACGAAAGCGUGGGGAGCAAACAGG
rnacentral:rRNA from 1 species